rnacentral:rRNA from 1 species
GUGGGGAAUAUUGGACAAUGGGCGAAAGCCUGAUCCAGCCAUGCCGCGUGUGUGAAGAAGGUCUUCGGAUUGUAAAGCACUUUAAGUUGGGAGGAAGGGUAGUACCUAAUACGUUGCUACUUUGACGUUACCGACAGAAUAAGCACCGGCUAACUUCGUGCCAGCAGCCGCGGUAAUACGAAGGGUGCAAGCGUUAAUCGGAAUUACUGGGCGUAAAGCGCGCGUAGGUGGUUCAGUAAGUUGGAAGUGAAAUCCCCGGGCUCAACCUGGGAACUGCUUUCAAAACUGCUGAGCUAGAGUACGGUAGAGGGUGGUGGAAUUUCCUGUGUAGCGGUGAAAUGCGUAGAUAUAGGAAGGAACACCAGUGGCGAAGGCGACUACCUGGACUGAUACUGACACUGAGGUGCGAAAGCGUGGGGAGCAAACAGGAUUAGAUACCCUAGUAGUCC